rnacentral:tRNA from 1 species
ACCUGGCUGGCUCAGUUGGUAGAGCAUGUGACUUUUGAUCUCAGGGUCAUGAAAGUUGAAGCCCCAUGCUGGGUG